GAACCUGUCACAUGUUUAAACUACCUGAUUUAGCUUUAGGAGCCGUUGUUAUUUUUGUAUCGCCGCAGUAUCAGCAUGGUGGAUAGCCCAGAUAGUUUAGAUUUCAGUUACGCUCGUGUUGGAAUUUCGAGUGUAUUUUUACAGUAGCGUUCAGACUGUUUCGGACUGUUGGGUGCCGUCUGGGUUGACGGUGGACCCAUAAUGCCGUUUUGGCGUCAGAUUGUGCCGAGGGCACGUGACCUAUUGGUUGUUAGACCAGUUAGACCUGAUUUACUUGACUUUGGCUUGUGAGAGCCUGAUUGAG
rnacentral:lncRNA from 1 species